rnacentral:sRNA from 1 species
AUGAAUGCCAUUGUGGAGGUGUGUUUGCACUCUGGUUGGAUGAAGGAUGAUUGAAUGAAUAACCUCGGAAACCCCAGGUUUGCCGUUUUCGUCAAGACACAGACACAGCCGCAGUUCCGUGGACGGGGGGGGGAUUAUACCGAUCAGAACUACGCUGCUUAAGUCGUGAUUGUUAUCCAGCCGGGUUAAGAUUGUCCACCAACCGGUUUGUUGGACUACUGGGCGAGGGGCUUUGAUGGAAUAAUAAUGACGACAGAGGUGCAACGCCCAUCAUCCAGAGAUUGUGAAGGCACUGGACAGCCCUGGAGGCCAGUGUCAGACAAGACAAACCAAUGAAAACG